rnacentral:rRNA from 1 species
CAAGUUUUUAAGGGCGCACGGUGGAUGCCUUGGCACCAGGAACCGAUGAAGGACGUGGGAGGCCGCGAUAGGCCCCGGGGAGCUGUCAACCGAGCUGUGAUCCGGGGGUGUCCGAAUGGGGAAACCCGGCAGUCGUCAUGGGCUGUCACCCAUACCUGAACACAUAGGGUAUGUGGAGGGAACGCGGGGAAGUGAAACAUCUCAGUACCCGCAGGAAGAGAAAACAACCGUGAUUCCGGGAGUAGUGGCGAGCGAAACUGGAUGAGGCUAAACCGUAUGUGUGUGAUACCCGGCAGGGGUUGCGCAUGCGGGGUUGUGGGAGCGAGCUUCGGUCGUCUGCCGGCGGCUGGGUGAGUCAGAAACCAUUGCGAUAGGCGAAGGGCAUGCGAAAGGCCCGGCGUAGAGGGUAAGACCCCCGUAGCUGAAAUCGUGGUGGCUUGCUUGCUUGUUUCCCAAGUAGCACGGGGCCCGAGAAAUCCCGUGUGAAUCUGGCGGGACCACCCGCUAAGCCUAAAUAUUCCCUGGUGACCGAUAGCGGAUAGUACCGUGAGGGAAUGGUGAAAAGUACCGCGGGAGCGGAGUGAAAUAGUACCUGAAACCGUGUGCCUACAAGCCGUGGGAGCGUCGGGCAUCAGCUUGCUGGUGUCUCGUGACUGCGUGCCUUUUGAAGAAUGAGCCUGCGAGUUUGCGGUGUGUUGCGAGGUUAACCCGUGUGGGGAAGCCGUAGCGAAAGCGAGUCCGAAUAGGGCGGUGUAGUAGCGCGCUCAAGACCCGAAGCGGAGUGAUCUAGCCAUGGGCAGGUUGAAGCGGAGGUAAGACUUCGUGGAGGACCGAACCCACCAGGGUUGAAAACCUGGGGGAUGACCUGUGGUUAGGGGUGAAAGGCCAAUCAAACUCCGUGAUAGCUGGUUCUCCCCGAAAUGCAUUUAGGUGCAGCGUCGUGUGUUUCUUGCCGGAGGUAGAGCACUGGAUAGGCGAUGGGCCCUACCGGGUUACUGACCUUAGCCAAACUCCGAAUGCCGGUAAGUGAGAGCGCGGCAGUGAGACUGUGGGGGAUAAGCUCCAUGGUCGAGAGGGAAACAGCCCAGAGCAUCGACUAAGGCCCCUAAGCGUACGCUAAGUGGGAAAGGAUGUGGAGUCGCAGAGACAACCAGGAGGUUGGCUUAGAAGCAGCCAUCCUUGAAAGAGUGCGUAAUAGCUCACUGGUCAAGUGAUUCCGCGCCGACAAUGUAGCGGGGCUCAAGCGUACCGCCGAAGUCGUGUCAUUGCAGCAUGAGACCUAACGGUUGUUGUGAUGGGUAGGGGAGCGUCGUGUGCCGGGUGAAGCAGCACCGGAAGGUAGUUGUGGAUGGUUCACGAGUGAGAAUGCAGGCAUGAGUAGCGAUUCACACGUGGGAAACGUGUGCGCCGAUUGACUAAGGGUUCCUGGGUCAAGCUGAUCUGCCCAGGGUAAGUCGGGACCUAAGGCGAGGCCGACAGGCGUAGUCGAUGGACAACCGGUUGAUAUUCCGGUACCCGCUUUGAAGCGCCAGCGCUGAACCAGGCGAUGCUAAGUCCGUGAAGCCGCCCUGGAUCCUUCGGGUGAAGGGGAGUGGUGGAGCCGACGGUCCAGACCUGUAGUAGGUGAGUGAUGGGGUGACGCAGGAAGGUAGUCCAGCCCGGGCGGUGGUUGUCCCGGGGUAAGGGUGUAGCCCGAGGGGUAGGUAAAUCCGUCUCUCAUAUAAGGGUGAGACCUGAUGCCGAGCCGAUUGUGGUGAAGUGGAUGAUCCUAUGCUGUCGAGAAAAGCCUCUAGCGAGUUUCAUGGCGGCCCGUACCCUAAACCGACUCAGGUGGUCAGGUAGAGAAUACCGAGGCGUUCGGGUGAACUAUGGUUAAGGAACUCGGCAAAAUGCCCCCGUAACUUCGGGAGAAGGGGGGCCAUUGCUGGUGAUCACCCUUGCGGUGUGAGCUGGUGGUGGCCGCAGAGACCAGCGAGAAGCGACUGUUUACUAAAAACACAGGUCCGUGCGAAGCCGUAAGGCGAUGUAUACGGACUGACGCCUGCCCGGUGCUGGAACGUUAAGGGGACCGGUUAGUCACAUUUCGGUGUGGCGAAGCUGAGAACUUAAGCGCCAGUAAACGGCGGUGGUAACUAUAACCAUCCUAAGGUAGCGAAAUUCCUUGUCGGGUAAGUUCCGACCUGCACGAAUGGCGUAACGACUUCUCGACUGUCUCAACCAUAGGCCCGGUGAAAUUGCAUUACGAGUAAAGAUGCUCGUUUCGCGCAGCAGGACGGAAAGACCCCGGGACCUUUACUACAGCUUGAUAUUGGUGUUCGGUUCGGCUUGUGUAGGAUAGGUGGGAGACUGUGAAGCCGCAACGCCAGUUGUGGUGGAGUCGUUGUUGAAAUACCACUCUGGUCGUGCUGGAUGUCUAACCUGGGUCCGUGAUCCGGAUCAGGGACAGUGUCUGGUGGGUAGUUUAACUGGGGCGGUUGCCUCCUAAAGGGUAACGGAGGCGCCCAAAGGUUCCCUCAGCCUGGUUGGCAAUCAGGUGUUGAGUGUAAGUGCACAAGGGAGCUUGACUGUGAGACUGACGGGUCGAGCAGGGACGAAAGUCGGGACUAGUGAUCCGGCGGUGGCUUGUGGAAGCGCCGUCGCUCAACGGAUAAAAGGUACCCCGGGGAUAACAGGCUGAUCUUCCCCAAGAGUCCAUAUCGACGGGAUGGUUUGGCACCUCGAUGUCGGCUCGUCGCAUCCUGGGGCUGGAGUCGGUCCCAAGGGUUGGGCUGUUCGCCCAUUAAAGCGGUACGCGAGCUGGGUUUAGAACGUCGUGAGACAGUUCGGUCCCUAUCCGCUGUGCGCGUAGGAGUCUUGAGAAGGGCUGUCCCUAGUACGAGAGGACCGGGACGGACGAACCUCUGGUGUGCCAGUUGUUCUGCCAAGGGCAUGGCUGGUUGGCUACGUUCGGGAGGGAUAACCGCUGAAAGCAUCUAAGCGGGAAGCCUGCUUCGAGAUGAGGGCUCCCACCUCCUUGAGGGGUUAAGGCUCCCAGUAGACGACUGGGUUGAUAGGCCAGAUAUGGAAGCCGGGUGACCGGUGGAGUUGACUGGUACUAAUAGGCCGAGGGCUUGUCC